rnacentral:rRNA from 1 species
AGAGUUUGAUCCUGGCUCAGAACGAACGUUAGCGGCGCGCCUAACACAUGCAAGUCGAACGCGACUGGGGGCAACUCCAGUUGAGUGGCGCACGGGUGAGUAACACGUAGGUAAUCUCCCCCCGAGUGGUGGAUAACCUUCCGAAAGGAGGACUAAUACAGCAUAAGACCACGGCUUCGAAAGGAGCUGAGGUCAAAGCGGAGGAUCGCAAGACUUCGCGCUUGGGGAUGAGCCUGCGGCCCAUCAGGUAGUUGGCGGAGUAAAAGCCCACCAAGCCUAAGACGGGUAGCUGGUCUGAGAGGAUGAUCAGCCACACUGGAACUGAGACACGGUCCAGACUCCUACGGGAGGCAGCAGUGGGGAAUCUUGCGCAAUGGACGAAAGUCUGACGCAGCGACGCCGCGUGGGUGAUGAAGGCCUUCGGGUUGUAAAGCCCUGUGGGGAGGGACGAAUAAGUUCCAGCUAAUACCUGGAGCGAUGACGGUACCUCCUUAGCAAGCACCGGCUAACUCUGUGCCAGCAGCCGCGGUA